GGCUAUUGAUCCUCAGGGACGUGCAUUGCAAUGGUCUCUGUGAGGGGAAAGCCUCCUUUUGUGUUCUUGAGAUGGCUAAAGUCAGCUGAAUGAGCUAUUUCUGAGACAGAAACUGUGGCCUUUCACCAUGUGAUUCACUUCCUCUGCUAUUUUGACGGAGCUUGUUGACUUUUAUAACCUCAUUUGCAAAGGCAGACAGCAACCAAAACUUUCAGUUGACCUCAGCAAAAGCUACGAAGUGUUCAGCUUUUCCAGAAACUCAGAUUGCUUUUUCAGCUCAAAUUGCUGGAAAAUACAAGUUAGUCUGCAGAAGGGCCUAACAGAGGGAAGACAAAGUAUAAAAUCAGCACAAAGAGGACUGGGAGCAGAAGGUUCCUUAGUGAGGGUUAUAUUGUCAUGGAGAGAUGUUGAAUGUGUAGAUGAGGGAAGGAAGCUGAACAUCCGGCCAGGGCUGUUGAGGAAGACAAGGCAGGGCAGAUGAAAGGCUGCCUAAACAUCUGCUGUCAUGCAACUGCACUGGUACCCUUCAAAGUUAAGCCACCACAAAGAAUUUUAUUCCAUCCACCAUGGGAAAGAAGUCACUCUACAGCCUGGAACAGGAGCUGUUCACCAGCCAUCUCCUCAUACACCCAAACGCAGGGAUGUACAGCAAAAUGUGCCACCCCAUCACUUUGUGUAAAGCAGCACCUCUGCUUAAGAGCCGUGCUAAUCACAUUACUUAAUGAGUUCACAAAUAAUCACUUUGUGCUUAUAAUCUGAAGAUAGAAGUUUUGGCAGCUGAGACAGGGAAAUUAAAAAAAAAUCUUUAAAAUAAACCAAGACCUGUUAAAUCCUCUGUAUCUCUU
rnacentral:lncRNA from 1 species